rnacentral:rRNA from 1 species
GAUGAACGCUGGCGGCGUGCCUAAUACAUGCAAGUCGAGCGAACGGACGAGAAGCUUGCUUCUCUGAUGUUAGCGGCGGACGGGUGAGUAACACGUGGAUAACCUACCUAUAAGACUGGGAUAACUUCGGGAAACCGGAGCUAAUACCGGAGGAUAUUUUGAACCGCAUGGUUCAAAAGUGAAAGACGGUCUUGCUGUCACUUAUAGAUGGAUCCGCGCUGCAUUAGCUAGUUGGUAAGGUAACGGCUUACCAAGGCAACGAUGCAUAGCCGACCUGAGAGGGUGAUCGGCCACACUGGAACGGAGACACGGUCCAGACUCCUACGGGAGGCAGCAGUAGGGAAUCUUCCGCAAUGGGCGAAAGCCUGACGGAGCAACGCCGCGUGAGUGAUGAAGGCCUUCGGAUCGUAAAACUCUGUUAUUAGGGAAGAACAGAUGUGUAAGUAACUGUGCACAUCUUGACGGUACCUAAUCAGAAAGCCACGGCUAACUACGUG